rnacentral:rRNA from 1 species
UGAGGCCUGGCUUCCGGAACUAACGCGUAAAGUCGACCGCCUGGGAGUACGGCCCGCAAGGUUAAAACUCCAAUGAAUUGACGGGGGCCCGCACAAGCGGUGGAGCAUGUGGUUAAAUUCGAUGCAACGCGAAGAACCUUACCUACUCUUGACAUCCAGAGAACUUUCCAGAGAUGGAUUGGUGCCUUCGGGAACUCUGAGACAGGUGCUGCAUGGCUGUCGUCGGCUCGUGUUGUGAAAUGUUGGGUUAAGUCCCGCAACGAGCGCAACCCUUAUCCUUUGUUGCCAGCGGUCCGGCCGGGAACUCAAAGGAGACUGCCAGUGAUAAACUGGAGGAAGGUGGGGAUGACGUCAAGUCAUCAUGGCCCUUACGAGUAGGGCUACACACGUGCUACAAUGGCGCAUACAAAGAGAAGCGAACUCGCGAGAGCAAGCGGACCUCAUAAAGUGCGUCGUAGUCCGGAUUGGAGUCUGCAACUCGACUCCAUGAAGUCGGAAUCGCUAGUAAUCGUAGAUCAGAAUGCUACGGUGAAUACGUUCCCGGGCCUUGUACACACCGCCCGUCACACCAUGGGAGUGGGUUGCAAAAGAAGUAGGUAGCUUAACCUUCGGGAGGGCGCUUACCACUUUGUGAUUCAUGACUGGGGUGAAGUCGUAACAAG